CCCUUAGAUGUUCUGGGCCGCACGCGCGCUACACUGACGGAGGUAGCGAGCGUGUCCUUCGCCGGCAGGUGCGGGCAAUCUUGCGAGUCUCCGUCGUGCUGGGGAUAGAUGGUUGCAAUUGUCGAUCUUGAACGAGGAAUUCCUAGUAAGCGCGAGUCAUCAGCUCGCGCUGAUUACGUCCCUGCCCUUUGUACACACCGCCCGUCGCUACUACAGAGUGCCCGUGUCCAAGAAACGGUCGGACCUGUGCGGCCUCUCCGGGCGACCGGAGGGCCGUUACGGGGAAGACCCUUUAUUUGACGCGGGUCGAUGAAGUAAAAGUCGUAACA
rnacentral:rRNA from 1 species